UUCUCUUCUGUCUUUUCCUUUUCUUUUGCUCUCUCUAUAUCUCUCCGCCUGUCUUUCCGUUUAGAUUUCGAUCCGGUCGUCUAAAAAGGUCGUUCGUCUGUUUUUUUCUGCUCUUUUCCAGAAACCAAUCGCACCGUUUUAGGGAACAUUGGUCUUUGAAUUUUAGGGUUUUAUCGUACGAGCUUGCAAGCCAUUUUUGGGUGAGGAAACGUUGCAAGCCCUUUCUGAUUAAGGAAGCAGUGGCUAUCUUUUUUUGCGCUUUCGUAUGUACGGUUCCAGGUGCCUCAGUGAAAAAAAUCUAGGAAAAACAAAGGGAGGUUGAACCCAUCUACAUAGUGAAUCGAAAGAAAAAUUAAACUCAAUAGCUAGAGAAUGAAAACUGGUCUGAUGAAAAAAAAGAAAUGAACACAUAUAAGUGGCUUGAAUGGAAGAUGCAAUUCCAACACCUAUCAAUCAGUUACAACCGUAUAAAAAGGCAGUAAAACUUCAAGUCCUGUGUACAAUGUGGAGAGCGAGAAUUCCAGAAACGACCGAUAAAUAUAUAGGCCUGCGCUGUAUACUGGUUGAUGAAAAGCAACGCAGGAGUCUGACUUCCUU
rnacentral:sRNA from 1 species